rnacentral:rRNA from 1 species
AGUGAACGCUGGCGGCAGGCCUAACACAUGCAAGUCGAGCGGAUGCAGAGUGCUUGCUCCUGGUUACGGCGGCGGACUGGUGAGUAGGGCCUAGGAAUCUGCCUGGUAGUGGUGUAUAACGUCCGGAAACGGGCGCUAAUACCGCAUACGUCCUGAGUGCGAACGUGGGGGAUCUUCGGACCUCACGCUAUCAGAUGAGCCUAGGUCGGAUUAGCUAGUUGGUGGGGUAAAGGCCUACCAAGGCGACGAUCCGUAACUGGUCUGAGAGGAUGAUCAGUCACACUGGAACUGAGACACGGUCCAGACUCCUACGGGAGGCAGCAGUGGGGAAUAUUGGACAAUGGGCGAAAGCCUGAUCCAGCCAUGCCGCGUGGGUGAAGAAGGUCUUCGGAUUGUAAAGCACUUUAAGUUGGGAGGAAGGGCAGUAAGUUAAUACCCUGCUGUUUUGACGUUACCAAAAGAAUAAGCACCGGCUAACUUCGUG